UAGCAGAGGUCCCAAGCGUUUGUUCGGAAUCACUGGGCGUAAAGGGUGCGCAGGUGGUUGUGCGCGUGGGGGGGUGAAAUCGCCCGGCUUAACUGGGCGGGGGCCUUCCAGACGGCGUGGCUUGAGCAGCGGAGGGGGACGUGGAAUUCCGGGUGGAGCAGUGAAAUGCGUAGAGAUGUGGAGGAACACCGAUGGCGAAGGCAGCCCCCUGGGCUAACACUGACGCUCAUGCACGAAAGCGUGGGGAGCAAACAGGAUUAGAAACCCGGAGUAAGUC
rnacentral:rRNA from 1 species